GCCCGGUUGCGGCAGGGCUUACACAGCCGCACAGACGGUGACGGCCACCACCUUAAAACGCCUA
ncrna:unclassified sequences GP20-b RNA